AACGCGAAGAACCUUACCUGGGCUCGAAAUGUUGUGGACCGGGGUAGAAAUAUCCCUUCCCCGCAAGGGGCCGCAAUAUAGGUGCUGCAUGGCUGUCGUCAGCUCGUGUCGUGAGAUGUUGGGUUAAGUCCCGCAACGAGCGCAACCCUUAUCUCCAGUUGCUACCAUUUAGUUGAGCACUCUGGCGAAACCGCCUCGGAUAACGGGGAGGAAGGUGGGGAUGACGUCAAGUCCUCAUGGCCUUUAUGUCCAGGGCUACACACGUGCUACAAUGGCCGGUACAAACCGUCGCAAACCCGCGAGGGGGAGCUAAUCGGAAAAAGCCGGCCUCAGUUCGGAUCGCAGUCUGCAACUCGACUGCGUGAAGCUGGAAUCGCUAGUAAUCGCGGAUCAGAACGCCGCGGUGAAUACGUUCCCGGGCCUUGUA
rnacentral:rRNA from 1 species